CAAUAGCGUAUAUUAAAGUUGUUGCGGUUAAAAAGCUCGUAGUUGGAUUUCUGCUGAGAACGACCGGUCCGCCCUUUGGGUGUGUAUCUGGCUCUUUCUUGGCAUCUUCUUGGUGAACGUUGCUGCACUUGACUGUGUGGAGCGCUACCCAGGACUUUUACUUUGAGGAAAUUAGAGUGUUUCAAGCAGGCAUACGCCUUGAAUACAUUAGCAUGGAAUAAUAAGAUAGGACCUCGGUUCUAUUUUGUUGGUUUCUAGAGCUGAGGUAAUGAUUAAUAGGGAUAGUUGGGGGCAUUCGUAUUUAACUGUCAGAGGUGAAAUUCUUGGAUCUGCUAAAGACGGACAACUGCGAAAGCGUUUGCCCAGGAUGUUUNCAUUG
rnacentral:rRNA from 1 species